UACGAAGGGGGCAAGCGUUGUCCGGAUUUAUUGGGCGUAAAGAGCGUGUAGGCGGCCAUGCAGGUCCGCUGUGAAAACUGGAGGCUUAACCUCCAGACGUCGGUGGAAACCGCAUGGCUAGAGUCCGGAAGAGGAGAGUGGAAUUCCCGGUGUAGCGGUGAAAUGCGCAGAUAUCGGGAAGAACACCCGUGGCGAAGGCGGCUCUCUGGGACGGUACUGACGCUGAGACGCGAAAGCGUGGGGAGCGAACAGG
rnacentral:rRNA from 1 species